GCUGAAGCUGUCCAUUGGUGCCCAGGAUCGGGUUCUGCUGCUACACGUUAUAGAAGGCAAAGGCCUGAUAAGCAAGAAGCCUGGCAUCUGUGAUCCCUAUGUGAAGAUUUCUUUGAUCCCUGAAGACAGCCAGCUCUGCUGCCAGACAACGCAGGUCAUUCGGGACUGCAGAGACCCAGCUUUCCACGAGCACUUCUUCUUUCCUGUCCCAGAGGAGGGUGAUCAGAAGCGUCUUCUAGUGACAGUGUGGAACCAGGCCAGUGAGACAGGCAGCAUGCGCUCAUUGGCUGCAUGAGCUUUGGGGUGAGGUCUCUCUUGACUCCGGACAA
rnacentral:lncRNA from 1 species